UCAAAUUUGGAUUAAUGGUGGUCCAAAUGAAACCCCUAAUUAUAUAAUGGCUGGAUGGACGGUUAAUCCAGGCUUAUACGGUGAUCACCUUACUCGGUUAUUUACAUUUUGGACGGGUGAUAAUUAUCGGAAUGGGUGCUUCAAUACUCUUUGCAUAGGUUUUGUA